GUAGGUGAACCUGCGGAAGGAUCAUUAGUGAAUUAUAGGGCGUCUACUUGUAGAGCCUGACCUCCACUUCUAACACUGUGCACUUGAUGGCGAGGUAAUGGAACUUUCGAGUGAAACUACCUUGCGGCUUCAUUUUAAACAUUAGUCAAAGUAUGUAAUGAAAUAAAAAACAAAAAAAAACUUUCAACAACGGAUCUCUUGGUUCUGGCAUCGAUGAAGAACGCAGCAUCUGACUGACUACGUGGUUACG
rnacentral:misc_RNA from 1 species